GAUCACGUAACUGCUGCCAUCACACUACAGCUUUCACCUUGCUCCUACACAUUUGGUGUCAGAAGAUGUUGAUCCUUUUCUUAUGACAUCAAGACCCAGCAACUCACACCUACAGCUCCUCUGCAGCCAUCUUUGAUUGGGUCAGUGCAGUAGUGACCUUCCAGAGGCUCACAGAGUGUGUCUGAGGUGGAGCUGCACGCCCUCUUCACUCUUAGACCUGCACCUACAUUAGAACAUAAUCCAAUGAUUACAGAGUUAAUAACAUUUCAACUGCAAUGAACAAGGCAAACACCCAAUAUUAGUUGAUGCACAAUGUGCACAAAUAACCCUAAACAAAACUGCUGAUGUAUUUGCCUUCCAUUAAGAGUGCUGCUGUCCACUGGGUGUUUGACUAGCAGCACUAUUUGGUUUUAACCUCUCAUGCGUUUAUGCUGUUAAUCAGGAUGCUCAUUAUUCCUUUCACUGUUUAUGCCAAAACAUGAAGUCGUUGGCUGUGUUCCAGUAAUUUG